GCCGCCCCACAUAGAGUGUGGCAUAUGGUAUUCAUGGGCCAAAGAUAAGAUCCCAGCCAUAGCUGCGACCUACACCGAAGCUGUGGCAACACCAGAUCCUUAACCCACGGUGCAGGGCUGGGAAUCAACCUGUGUCUCAAUGCUGCAGAGUCUCCACCGACCCCAUUGCACUGCAGUGGGAACUCCACUGUUUUUCGUUUUUGUGUUUGGGUUUUUUUUGUGUUUUUUUUUUUUGGCUUUUUAGGGCCGCACAUGUGAUAUAUGGAGGUUCCCAGGCUAGGUGACAAAUUGGAGCCAUAGCUGCCAGCCACAGCCACAGCCACAGCAAUACAGGAUCCGAGCCACAUCUGCGAGCUACACCACAGCUCAUGGUAAUUAACGCCGGAUCCUUAACUCACUGAGCAGGGCCAAGGAUUGAACCUGUGUCCUCAUGGAUGCCAGUCAGAUUUGUUUCACCUGGGCCACGAAGGGAACUCCCACAUUUUUUUUUUUAAGUCAUGGUGAAAUCUCUGGGCAGACGCAGUGAUUUGGGAGACAAAUCACCCCUGGCUGGGAAGGGCCGUCACCUUCCCAUGAACUGCAGUGGAUAAUCACCUGCUGGGGUGUCUAAAUGCCAAAGGCAACAUCUGAGCCUUCAGAUUGGUCCCUGACACCCUGGCCAUCCAGAGGCUCAUCCUGACGGGGUCAGACCCUCCUGCAACCAGAGGCCACCUCAUCACGAGCUUCUGAACCUCCCAAAGUACAUUGACUUGUUCAGUUUCUGGCAGGCAGACAGAAAUGCUGGCUGCAGAAAUAAGGCCGUUACCUUUUCUCACAGUUAGAGGUUUAAUUAAAAAGCCCCGUGCUGCCAGAUUCCAAGUCCCCUCCACUGAUCUGCGAGACCUAUUGAUUGCUUAGCUCUCCCCGCAAGACACAGUGGAGAGAGGAGUUUAUCUUCCUUUAAUCAGACCUGCUUCCCUCAGAUCCAGCUCUGACAGGGCUGCCGGCUUCCCCUCACCCGCUUCCAUCACCCGGUGCUCAGCUGGCCCGGAAUACAGCGGGUGGCCCCAGAAUCAGGCCCUGGGAGCUGGGAGGUCUGCGCCCCAGGGAACAGGCAGCCACCAUCGUCAGCACCAUCUCCACGAUCAACCAUCCCGUCCCCAGUCUGCCUCUCACCAGGCACUGAGCCAAGUACUAUUUCUGAUGUCUUCUCUCCUCUGAUACAUCCAUGUAAUUAAUUUUCCUGUGUGUUAUGAUGCUCUGACUGCCUGAUAGCACGUCACCUGUACCGGGCAUUCGUUCUCUGUCAAGACUGCCUGUUCUAUUUUCAUCACAGCCCUUGUUAUUAUCUGAAACCAGAUGUAUCUCCUUGCCUACCUGUUCAUUGUCUCUGCCCCUGGAUUUUAAAUUCCCAAAGAACAGAGGUUUGAUCUCUCUCAUUCAGAACAGAGUCCCCUGUGCUUAAAACAGCUCGAGCACAUAGUUCUCGGUAAAUGUUGAGAAGGUUCAUCCAUGUUGCCAUAUACUGCAAAUUUUCCUUUUUAAGAGCGAACAGUAUCUCCUUGUAUUUAAUAUAUACCACAUUUUCUUUUUAUUUAUUUAUUUUUUACUUUAUUUUUUAUUUUUAUUUUUUUUAGGGCUGUACUUACGGCAUAUGGAAGAUCCCAGGCUAGGGAUUAAAUAAGAGAUCUGUAGCUCCUAUUUGACCCCUAGCCUUGGAACUUCCAUAUGCUGUGGGUGCAGCCCUAAAAAUCAAAAAAACAAAGAAAAAAGAAAAAAAACCACAUUACUCUAAGAUGGGGCCAAGGCACAAAAAAAGACACAGAACCAGGCUCUGGAACCCACGCUCUGACCACCUGGGUGAGUGUCAGAAAGAACCCUGCUCAGGACCUCGGCUCCCAGCAUUCAAGGGGGUCCCGAGGCUCAGUGUGGGAAAGUGACAGUGCAGACACACGGGGAAGUUGAGUCCAUGUCUCAGCUAGAAUCCAGGUUUUCCCACUCUCAGCCCAGUGCCUUUGCAGCUGUACCACACUGCCACCUAAGGACACAAAGCACUUCAAACCUGCCACAGCCCAGCCGUCUGUGUCUGUGGCCAAGGGCUGGGCCACUGGAGGUCCUUUGAGCAGAGGAUGAGGGCUCCGGCUUUGGGCUGCAGGGACUUGGAUUCACUUGCUCCUGUGAAACAGUCAUUAUUAGCUCACUCACUGCAGGUGAGGAUGCAAAUGAUGUCAGCAAACUUGGAAAGCAACUGGGGAGCACCUAGUAAGAAUAGGGCUGUGGGAGUUCCCUUUGUGGUUCAGCAGGUGAAGAACCCGACAUAGUGUCUGUGAGGAUGCAGGUUCCAGCCCUGGCCUCGCUCAGUGGGUUAAUGAUCCAGCAUUGCCAUGGUCACAGAUGUGGCUCAAAUCCUGCGUUGCUGUGGCUGUGGCGUAGGCCUGAAGCUGCAGCUCCAAUU
rnacentral:lncRNA from 1 species